CUUAAAACUCUUGUUCCAUCAUUGUUUAGGAUAAAGACAAAGCCAUCAAGCCAACUAAGGAAGAGCCAGUUACCAUUCCAGUUAUGGUGUGCGUUCCCUCUUAGCCUCUGAGAACAAAGGACAUAGUUCCACAGACCUAGAAAAGCAAAGACAAAACAUUUAAAACAGUUUCUUAAACUCAUUUUGAAAAGAUUAUAUUUAUCAUGAUAAUUAUUGUCAAGAUAUUUGCAGGUAAAGAAUGUUAUGA
rnacentral:lncRNA from 1 species